ACGCCUUAUACAUGCAAGUCGAACGAAGUAGCAAUACUUAGUGGCAGACGGGUGAGUAACAUGUAGGUAUCUUCCCUUUGGUGAGGAAUAACACGAGGAAACUUGUGCUAAUACCUCAUAAGUCUUCACGGAGAAAGCUUUAUGCGCCGAAGGAUGAGCCUGCACUUGAUUAGUUUGUUGGUGGGGUAAUGGCCUACCAAGACUUUGAUCUAUAGCUGAUCUGAGAGGAUGAUCAGCCACAUUGGGACUGAGACACGGCCCAAACUCCUACGGGAGGCAGCAGUAGGGAAUAUUGCACAAUGGAGGAAACUCUGAUGCAGCGAUGCCGCGUGAGUGAAGAAGGCCUUUGGGUUGUAAAGCUCUUUCGUCGGGGAAGAAAAUGACUGUACCCGAAUAAGAAGGUCCGGCUAACUUCGUGCCAGCAGCCGCGGUAAUACGAAGGGACCUAGCGUAGUUCGGAAUUACUGGGCUUAAAGAGUUCGUAGGUGGUUAAAAAAGUUGGUGGUGAAAUCCCAGAGCUUAACUCUGGAACUGCCAUCAAAACUUUUUAGCUAGAGUAUGAUAGAGGAAAGCAGAAUUUCUAGUGUAGAGGUGAAAUUCGUAGAUAUUAGAAAGAAUACCAAUUGCGAAGGCAGCUUUCUGGAUCAUUACUGACGCUGAGGAACGAAAGCAUGGGUAGCGAAGAGGAUUAGAUACCCUCGUAGUCCAUGCCGUAAACGAUGUGUGUUAGACGUUGGAAAUUUAUUUUCAGUGUCGCAGCGAAAGCAUUAAACACACCGCCUGGGGAGUAC
rnacentral:rRNA from 1 species